AUCCUUUCAUCUCAGCUCCAAACUUUGUCUCUGUAACUCCUUCCGUGGCUGUUUUGUUCCCAAUUCUAAGAAGGGGCAAAGUGUCCACACUUUGGUCUUUGUUCUUCUUGAGUUUCAUGUGUUUCACAAAUUGUAUCUUAUAUCUUGGUUAUUCUAAGUUUCUGGGCUAAUAUCCACUUUUCAGUGAAUACAUAUUGUGUGAGUUCUUUUCUGAUUGGGUUACCUCACUUAGGAUGAUGCCCUCCAUGUCCAUCCAUUUGCCUAGGAAUUUCAUAAAUUCAUUGUUUUUAAUAGCUGAGUAGUACUCCAUUGUGUAAAUAUAGCACAUUUUCUGUAUACAUUCCUCUGUUGAGGGGCAUCUGGGUUCUUUCCAGCUUCUGGCUAUUAUUAAGGCUGCUAUGAACAUAGCAGAGCAUGUGUCCUUCUUACCGGUUGGAACAUCUUCUGGAUAUAUGCCCAGGAGAGGUGUUGCAGGAUCCUCUGGUAGUACUAUGUCCAAUUUUAUGAGGAACCGCCAGACUGAUUUCCAGAGUGGUUGUACAAUCUUGCAAUUCCAUUAACAAUGGAGGAGUGUUCCUCUUUCUCCACAUCCUUGCCAGCAUCUGCUGUCACCUGAAUUUUUGAUUUUAGCCAUUCUGACUGGUGUGAGGUGAAAUCUCAGGGUUGUUUUGAUUUGCAUUUCCCUGAUGAUUAAGGAUGUUGAACAUUUUUUCAGGUGCUUCUCAGCCAUUUGGUAUUCCUCAGGUGGGAAUUCUUUGUUUAGCUCUGAGCCCCAUUUUUUAAUGGGGUUAUUUGAUUUUCUGGAGUCCAGCUUCUUGAGUUCUUUAUAUAUAUUGGAUAUUAGUCCUCUAUCUGAUUUAGAAUAGGUAAAGAUCCUUUCCCAAUCUGUUGUUGGCUUUUUUGUCUUAUUGACAGUGUCUUUUGCCUUACAGAAGCUUUGCAAUUUUAUGAGGUCCCAUUUGUUGAUUCUCGAUCUUACAGCACAAGUCAUUGUUGUUCUAUUCACGAAUUUUUCCCCUGUGCCCAUAUCUUCGAGGCUUUUCCCUAUUUUCUUCUCUAUAAGUUUCAGUGUGUCUGGUUUUAUGUAGAUUUCCUUAAUCCACUUAGAUUUGACCUUAGUACAAGGAGAUAGGAGUGGGUCAAUUCACAUUCUUCUACAUGAUAACCACCAGUUGUGCCAGCACCAUUUGUUGAAAAUGCUGUCUUUUUUCCACUGGAUGGUUUUAGCUCCCUUGUCAAAGAUCAAGUGACCAUAGGUGUGUGGGUUCAUCUCUGGGUCUUCAAUUCUAUUCCAUUGGUCUACUUGUCUGUCACUGUACCAGUACCAUGCAGUUUUUAUCACAAUUGCUCUGUAGUACAGCUUUAGGUCCGGCAUGGUGAUUCCACCAGAGGUUUUUUUUAUCCUUGAGAAGAGUUUUUGCUAUGCUAGGUUUUUUGUUAUUCCAGAUGAAUUUGCAGAUUGCCCUUUCUAAUUCGUUGAAGAAUUGAGUUGGAAUUUUGAUGGGGAUUGCAUUGAAUCUGUAGAUUGCUUUUGGCAAGAUAGCCAUUUUUACCAUAUUGAUCCUGCCAAUCCAUGAACAUAGGAGAUCUUUCCAUCUUCUGAGAUCUUCUUUAAUUUCUUUCUUCAGGGACUUGAAGUUCUUAUCCUACAGAUCUUUCACUUCCUUAGUUAGAGUCACACCAAGGUAGUUUAUAUUAUUUGUACUUGUAAGCUGCCAUACCCAGGUGUUGGAAUAGAAACUCUGGCCCUCUGCAAAAAGCAGCAAGUGCUCUAACCAUUGAGCCCUUAUGCUGACUAUUACUAAUGUGAUAUGCCUCUGAUAUGGAAGACUUUGGGGUGCUAUAUCAUUACCUAUACAUCUCACCUACUUUUCACAGCUCAUAUUUUAGAGAGAAGUUUUAAAAAUGAAUUAUAGAUUUUUUUAAAAGUAUUAAGAGGUAAACAUUGAGUUACACCACAGGCCUGCUUGUCUGAGAACUUUGUCUCUUCCUAUCAUAUAAUGAUUUUCAUUAAAAAUUAGCCUGGCUUUACCAUAUUUCAUGGUAUGUGGAACUCCAAAUGUGGUGUUCCAGGCUGUCACACACUCUCUAGGAUGUUACACAAAGUCUAGUCAUGUAAUUAUACUUUUGAAAGAGUCCAGGAAUUAAGAAAGACUCCCAGUCCUCUAUAGGCAUAUACAUCACAGCAAACAGGUAACAUGUUUCCAAAGCACAGCUUGUGAGAAGUUGGAGUUUGCUAACUGGAUUUUGUACAUCAAGAAUACUGAUAAUUGAAGCACUAGCAUUCAAAAUUUUUGCAUGCAUGCAAAAAUUCACAAAUAUGUAUUAUAAAAACACAAAGUUACAAAAGAAGUUUUAGGCUUUUAUUAAUUAUAAAAUCCCAACCUUUAAGAUACAAAACUCAGAAAAAGUGUAUGCUUUAGAAUCUAUGGGCAAAGAGGUAAGAAAUUGUUCUGGAAAGAUGACUCAGCAGGUAAGCACGAGCUGCUCUCCCACAGGGCUUUGAUUUGCUCCUCAGCAUGGACACCUUGGCUUGAAACUGUCAACACUCUCUUCUGUCCUCCGAGUACAAACAUGAUCCACCGGCUGACACGUCAGCAAAAUACCCACGCAUGUAAAAUCAAAGUUAAGUAAGUUAAAAACUGAUAAUAAAUUAUAAUAAGAGAUGUUUUGGUAACCCCUUUGCUUCAGUUGGAUGAUCCAGUGUGGUCAGAUGUCCAGGAAAGCCAGACUGUUCUGCGAGAGUUAACUGAAACCAGAAGACAAGGUUCUUAUACUUCCUCUCAGUCUUGAUGGCCACUGAACCAGCUCCUUCAGACUGUUCUCUAAACUGUGUGCAUGUGUGCGCUGCACACACACAGCUGUAUUACUAGUCCUAGGUAUUCAGUGUUAUUGAACAUUGUAUAGACAUAUUUAUCCACAUUCAAACAGAUCUUUACUAGAAUUUCUGUGUAAUCAUCGUAAACAUCAAUUUCUAACCAGUUAAUAAAAUUAGUUCUAGAAGGUUCUUCUGCUCCCACUCCCUUUCAGAGGUCACCUUUUUUUUUUUUAUUGCUAUCACUACUUGGUCUGACUUAUCUUCAUUAGGUGUUUGAUUUUUUUGUUUGUUUGUUUUGUUUUGUUUUAAUUUGGUUUAGGGGAGACACUUCCUGGUUAUUAUACAAUUUUCAACAACUCUCCAUGUGAAUAUCUUCUCCUGAAAGGCAGGUUUUACUUGGAGUCUUAAGAACACUGAUCAGGAGUUGGGACAUGUGAAAUGGCCAGUGUCUUUACGAAAAAAUAACUGGCUUUUACAAAAAC
rnacentral:lncRNA from 1 species